rnacentral:rRNA from 1 species
UCCGUAGGGGGCAAGCGUUGUCCGGAAUCAUUGGGCGUAAAGCGCGCGUAGGCGGCCCGGUAAGUCCGCUGUGAAAGUCCAGGGCUCAACCCUGGAAAGCCGGUGGAUACUGCCGGGCUAGAGUCCGGAAGAGGCGAGUGGAAUUCCUGGUGUAGCGGUGGAAUGCGCAGAUAUCAGGAGGAACACCAAUAGCGAAGGCAGCUCGCUGGGACGGUACUGACGCUGAGGUGCGAAAGCGUGGGGAGCAAACAGG